rnacentral:rRNA from 1 species
CCUACGGGUGGCAGCAGUGGGGAAUAUUGGACAAUGGGGGGAACCCUGAUCCAGCGACGCCGCGUGAGUGAAGAAGUAUUUCGGUAUGUAAAGCUCUAUCAGCAGGGAAGAAAGAAAUGACGGUACCUGACUAAGAAGCCCCGGCUAACUACGUGCCAGCAGCCGCGGUAAUACGUAGGGGGCAAGCGUUAUCCGGAUUUACUGGGUGUAAAGGGAGCGUAGACGGCGAUGCAAGUCUGAAGUGAAAGGCGGGGGCCCAACCUCCGGACUGCUUUGGAAACUGUAUGGCUGGAGUACAGGAGAGGUAAGUGGAAUUCCUAGUGUAGCGGUGAAAUGCGUAGAUAUUAGGAGGAACACCAGUGGCGAAGGCGGCUUACUGGACUGUAACUGACGUUGAGGCUCGAAAGCGUGGGGAGCAAACAGGAUUAGAUACCCCUGUAGUC